UGGGUGCUUACGGAGAAACGAAUGGCUACGCGACAAACUUGCCUUAAGCGUGACAGGCAAUGUAGAGACUAUAUUUCCAAUGCAUGUAACUGUUGCCACAUAGUAUGCUGACGAUAUUAUUGGAAACUCGCUGCAUUGUUUGUCGCGUGUGACACAGUCAUGACAGUGGGCAUUGUGAAGCAAUCGGAAUAUUGUGAUAAGUUGCUCAUACAUGUAGAUACACGGACCACCAACAUCUCAAAUUCGGAGACUGCGCCAGUGUUUGAUCGUCUCAUUAAACCUUCCAUGUUUCGUGCACUAGAGUUAGUGAAUAAAUUGCAGCGACAUCCUGGCGGAAAUUUUCCACCAGUUCAUCAGCAUUUACAGGUAGCUCUGCCAACCAUCCAUUGAACUCACGCUGACUCUGCAUCAUCAAAUCCUCUUCGGACAAUGUGAGUCCUUGUCCACGUCGUCCAUUCAUCCACUCCGUAACCAAACGGUCAACCCCGGGCCAGAGGACUGAAAUAAAAAGUUUCAUCUCGAUCAUCACCAAAUAACGACAAAGUUCCCAAGAACCACAUCAAGCGAUUACAUUGUUGAUUAUCAUUCGGUUGUGGGAUUAAACUUUUUUUAAAUGCUGAUGAAAUUUUUCGCCUGCCGCAUCCCAAAGCCAUUUCGAGACCUACCUACGCCUCUUUGUCUUUGCCGAUGCAUUCUAGCUUGGCGAUUGGUGGCCCCACGCUGCCUCUCUCUAAUUUCUUUUUCUUCAUUGAGCCAUCGUCGCAUCGUCUUUCGAGGGAUGUUGUGCUCCCUUGCAAAUUCGGUGGCUGAAAUCUCACGAGGCUGCCUUAAAAUGUAAGCAGCAUGACAAUCAUCCAACAGAAGGAUUCUCUCAGAUAAAGAAUAAGAUCUGUGACGUCGAGGAUAGACAUCAUCAUCAUCAUCAUCAUCAUACACUGUGACAGAAUGUGCCUGUCUUUUUCAAUGUCUAACACGCCUGAGAUGUCCUGACCAGCACGAUUUGAAAAUGAUGACAAUUUCAGCCACGCCUGUACUGCACUGUGGAUUAAAACUGUGGUCUGCCGUUGAAAAGAAACUCACAAGUGAAAUGUCAUUUAUAACUUGGCCUGGAUUGUGUAUAUUCAAUAUUUUGCGUGUUGGGCAAGUUAGUCGUGGUGGACGGAUAAAUCAUGUCCCGAACUUCACACCUGGCCUCAACCCACGAAUGCAAAACCAAACAGCAGUUACUUUUUAAACAAAUGACGAAUCUGUGCUGUUAUAAAUAGUAAGUCGUUUUUUGGAAUGUCCUCAUUCAUGUACGCUCAUUCAAGAUAGAACGAAUACAAUAGCAGAGAAUGCCGUGGUGACUUUUAUUUGCUCACCUGACCACAAUGUAAUGUCAGUUUUCAUGCAGCGAGUCGAUGUGGAUGCGCCAGUAGUUUUCAUGUUUGUAAACAUGAUACAGUAUGCCAAACGCAUUGCUGCUUGACGGUAUAGCUCGGGGAUCAUAGGUUGAGCUUUUAGGACGACGAUUCUUAAUGUGUUGACGGAAUUGUCCUGACGUUAUCCACGUUCUAUCAUCCGUCCAUUAGAACAGGAUACUUUACAGGCUUCGCAGAAAACAAAAUGGAAGACGAUCACGAAGAAAAUACGACAAGUCACAAAAUGUUGAGGACUUCAGAUAGUGACCUAGGAUUAUCAGUCAGUGGAUCUAAACAAUCAACUGAUGCAUCUUUUUUUCGAGGGAUAGAUGCUGACGUCAUGAGAAGAACACAACAAAUGGAACAUGUUUCGAGGGAGUUUUUGCUUUUGAUUUGCGGUACUGCCCUCGUCCUGACAUUGUGCCUUGCUUACUUCAAGUGGACUAGUUUCUCAGGGAUUAUUUAUGAUAGAUCAGAGAGUUAGUUAAUGUAUUUUGAUGGACAAUAAUCCACUCUGCUCUCAUUGUUUCUUCAUAGUUGCAAUCGGACUUUCUCAACAUCCCUGCUCACACUCAGUCGCCCGUGUCAUCGUCACUUGCACUAAACUCGCGUGAAAAAGUGGUAUUUUUGAAAAUAUUUUGUGCGAGACCUGGAGAGAAAUGACUUUACCAUGUAUUCUUGAUUUAACAUACACUGUCGAGAAAUAUCUCCGUAUGAAAUCUAUAGUAUAUUUCACUUACUAUAAAUUAGUGUUGGAUUUCAUCUAUUGAUUGUUGCAAAUUGUGUUGCCGAUCUAGUAGAGCCAUCUCUUGGCCUUAUGCAGACCUGGUGACUUAAGCUUGAUGACACUGGAACACAGUGGAAGUGUGGCUACUCACGGUGCAAACGUGUUGGGGGGGGGGGGGGUAGUUUCAAUAUUGUACUGUUUCCAUACAAUAUGCCGCUAUAGACUGGAGACUGAGUUUAGAGUGAAAGACGAAGAAAAACGUGUCCAGCUGUCCUCUAGCGUUUCGAAACAAUGAGGAGAGACACUCAAACAUGUUAUGCAUCGGGAAAGUGGUCACUUCCAUCAUUUAGGGUCUUCCAAGACUGAAAUAUGAACUGCAAGAUAUAGCGUGCCUUUUUCUCUUGGUAUCUUUUUUGGGUGUUUUUCCGUUUUUCUGUUUUUCAGAUGUGGAAACCUAAAAAGUCUGAUAUCUCUCUUAUGAGUGACUCCUUUUCGAUGGAAUAUGUAUGGUAUGUUCUCCUAGCAAGGAUACAUCACAUAUCGAACAGGUUUUUGAUUUGACCUGCUUUUCAAGGUCACAGAGGUCAAAUGGCGUAAAUUGGUAUUUUGAGUGUACCUAUGCCUAGUUUUUUAACCGCUAAAGCUAUGAACUUGAAAUUUGGCACACAAAACUCCCUACGUCAUGUAACCUCAGACACCGAAUUUCGAUCAGAUCUAAUUCUCGACUUGCCCACCAUAGGCCACAACUAAAAUAGGUAAAAAGUGCAAUAUCUCGCUUAUUAGUGACUUGUUUUCGAUGAUAUUUUUAUGGUAGGUACUCCAAGCAACGAUACAUCACAUGUCAUACCGACUUUUGUUUUGACCUAUAUACUAUACAUGUAGAAUGUUUCUUAACCAGGAUGAAUUCCAAACCACCAAAUAUCUAUACCGUGAGCACAAUGGCCCCUGGAUCAGAUCGAAUUCUCGACUUGCCCACCAGGAGGCCACAACUAAAAAAGUUAAAAGUGCAAUAUCUCGCUUAUUAGCGACUUGUUUUCGAUUAUAUUUUUUGGUAGGUACUCCAAGCAACGAUACAUCACAUGUCAUACCGACUUUGGUUUUGACCUAUAUACCAUACAUGUAGAAUGUUUCUUAACCAGAUGAAUUCCAAACCACAAAUAUCUAUACCGUGAGCACAAUGGCCCCUGGCCGUUUUAUUUUUCUAAUUGAUUGGCUGUGCUGCAUUUUUAUCCGAAUUAAACCGGUACCGGUAUUAAAUUGUAUUUUCUUAAGCGUGCUCCGUCCUUGAAUCGCUCCGUUCGAGCCUUCCUGCAUACUGAUAUCAAAUUUAGCAAGUAUAGACACUUGGAUAAAGGUAUGAAUUAAAGCAUUCUUCGCAUGAAGUUCA